rnacentral:rRNA from 1 species
UGGGGAAUAUUGCACAAUGGGCGCAAGCCUGAUGCAGCCAUGCCGCGUGUAUGAAGAAGGCCUUAGGGUUGUAAAGUACUUUCAGCGGGGAGGAAGGUGAUAAGGUUAAUACCCUUGUCAAUUGACGUUACCCGCAGAAGAAGCACCGGCUAACUCCGUGCCAGCAGCCGCGGUAAUACGGAGGGUGCAAGCGUUAAUUGGAAUUACUGGGCGUAAAGCGCACGCAGGCGGUCAAUUAAGUCAGAUGUGAAAGCCCCGAGCUUAACUUGGGAAUUGCAUCUGAAACUGGUUGGCUAGAGUCUUGUAGAGGGGGGUAGAAUUCCAUGUGUAGCGGUGAAAUGCGUAGAGAUGUGGAGGAAUACCGGUGGCGAAGGCGGCCCCCUGGACAAAGACUGACGCUCAGGUGCGAAAGCGUGGGGAGCAAACA